ensembl:lncRNA
CUGGAUAAUAUCAAAGCUAAAAUAAUGGCAGUUUUUCUCACGUUACAGUAGAAGAUUAUCCAGAACUGUACAAGGUUAAAAAGGUAACAUGUAGUUUGUCCCAAGGUGUCUGCCUCCUCACCCAGAGCCAGACCUCCACCUCCUCACCCAGAGCCAGACCUCCACCUCCUGUCAGAAGACCUCCAGAACAGGUCAGUGCUCUGGUGUGUGAGUAGAGUCUUCUCAGACCAGGAAUCCAUGUCUGGAGGAGCCGUGCUGAUGGAGGAGCCGUGCUGAAGGAGCUGAUGGAGGAGCCCUGCUGAAGGCCCUGCCUGGUGGAGGAGCUGGUGGAGGCCCUGCCUGACCAGGACUCUGUCUGAGGAGAGCUGCUGGAGGAGCUGAGACGCUGGAGGACGCCUAGGAAUCGACCAACAAGGAUUCCUCAACGUGUUUCUGGAGCGGAGGUGAGCUGGUAGGGGAGCCGUGAAUCUGGAGGAUGAACAUCAGUCUACCAACAAGGAUUGGAAACCAGGACUCUGACCAGGCUGAGGAGAGCUGAUGGGGGAGCCAAGACUCUGGAGGACGACAUCACUCCACCAACCAGGAUCCUCACCAGGAAUCUGGAGGACUGAUGGAGAAGCCGUACAUCUGAAGGCAAAUCCUGAGGACAACCAGGACUCUGCCAUCAAGGAUUCCUCACACACCUGAGCUGAACCCCAACUGAACCUGACAUCCUGCUGGUCCCGUCUCCUCAGUUCAUCUUAGCCUCCUCUUCCAGAAGACCUGCUGAGCUCAGCAGUCUGAGGCUGAUGUAUCAAUGACCUCCAGUGGGAGUGAUCUUCUUGACCCCACAUGUAAUCGUGUGCUUCCACACGCCUUUCCCUCACGUCUGUCACUAACCUCACUACUUCACUACUCUCUACUGCUUCCUCUUCUUCCUUCUCUGUGGUUCGAACCUUUACACUGAAGGCGCGUCUUCCUGCCCUCAGAGGGUUCAGCGUUAGGGUUGAGAGUCAGGGUUUAGAGUCAGGGACAGAGCUGGUCAGGGAGGACUGCUUUAACACAAACCUCUUCACUUGCUUUCGGAAUGGUGGUGACAUUUUGAAAAGAUUCAUUUGGGAAAAUGUUUUCCUCUGCUUCCCUUUACAAAAUUGUAUUAAACUUCUGUCAAGUGCGUUUGUUUAUAUAUUAAAAUCUGUUUUACCACAUGUUGAAGCAAGACUUCCGCUGUUUGUUCCAGACCAGGACUCUUUCUGAGGAGAGCUGCUGGAGGAGCUUAGACGCUGGAGGAUGACUAGGAAUCGACCAACAAGGAUUCCUCAACGUGUUUCUGGAGCGGAGGUGAGCUGGUUGGGGAGCCGUGAAUCUGGAGGAUGACCAUCAGUCUACCAACAAGGAUUGGAAGUUUGUAUUUACCUAACAAAGUGGAAAUAAAGGGCUUUAAAAUAAGACAAACUACAUAUUUGUUUCCAGACGUUGGGGCC